CAGCAGCCACGGUAAUACAGAGGGUGCGAGCGUUAAUCGGAUUUACUGGGCGUAAAGCGUGCGUAGGCGGCUUCUUAAGUCGGAUGUGAAAUCCCUGAGCUUAACUUAGGAAUUGCAUUCGAUACUGGGAAGCUAGAGUAUGGGAGAGGAUGGUAGAAUUCAAGGUGUAGCGGUGAAAUGCGUAGAGAUCUGGAGGAAUACCGAUGGCGAAGGCAGCCAUCUGGCCUAAUACUGACGCUGAGGUACGAAAGCAUGGGGAGCAAACAGGAUUAGAUACCCGCGUAGUCCCUGUUUCUUAUAC
rnacentral:rRNA from 1 species